UACCCGUAAAUUAGAGGUCUACAUGUCC
rnacentral:sRNA from 1 species